UGAGUUGAAGCUGAAAAACUAGCAUUUGGCCGUUAACCAAAAGGAUGAAGAUUAAAGACUUUCAACUCAG
rnacentral:tRNA from 1 species